rnacentral:lncRNA from 1 species
AGCAAGCGCCUUCCUAACCCCAACGAUGGCACUUGUCCGAUAUGUUUAUCAGAUUAUCAACCUAAAGAAACGUUAAGAACCAUACCAGAAUGCAACCAUUAUUUUCAUGCUGAAUGCAUAGAUGAAUGGCUUAAGCUCAAUGCUACUUGCCCCUUAUGUCGAAAUACGCCUGAUGGUUCUUUACAUCCUUGCUCAUCAUCGACUUCUUUGGUCUCAUCUUCUCCAUAGACGUCAGGAAACUCUAUUUUGCUCCGAUUUUUAAUGUCAUUGAUGGUUCUUUACAUCCUUGCUCAUCAUCAACUUCUUUGGUCUCAUCUUCUCCAUAGAUGUCAGGAAACUCUAUUUUGCUGUGAUUUUUAAUGUCAAAAGUGCAGGGUAAGGCUGUAUACUGAAGACCCUUGUGGUCCGGCUCUUUCAUCAGGGUGCUCUCAUUUUAAUGUCUUUCAUAGGAAAUUCUUGUUGUAUAUAAAUUGUGAUAUCGAGGUAUUGUAAAUGGAAAGAAAAUAAAGCGUGUAGGAUAGAAUUCUUUUUGGCAUUGUUUGUUUAGAAGGUGAAGAAAAUGAAAGGGACAAUUACGUUCUUUAAAAAAAAAAAAGAAGAAGCUUUUAGUAUACAUACCACUUGUUCUCCUGGAUUAUACGGUUGAAACUCGA